rnacentral:lncRNA from 1 species
UAAUUCUUCAAUGUUGUAAUUGGUUAUCAAUAUCAAACAGAUAUGAAAUAAUUGUUUAAGAUUUAACCGAAACUAUGAAAUGUAACAUACAUUAUUUAGAGUUUUGUGACAUGAGUUUUAUAUUACGCGGAUUCAAGAUUUUUGAAAGGGGGGAGUCAUUGGUGAAUCACAUUUUCUGCGAUCAAAGGGGAGAUACUCCUUUAUCCGCCAUAGAAUCACAUUGAAAACAUUAUAACAAAAAUUCCAAUAACAAUUGAUACUGGCAUGACCGUUGUAACAGAAUAUGACAAACACUGUCACAAUAACAUAUGAACACACACAAUCACAAGGAAAUCAAUGUAUAUACACUUAGUUACACGCUAUUUUCAUUUCUUUUGACUUGAGCUUCAUUUUGUGUUAUUGCAGUACAUGAAUCAGUAAUAAAUACAUUUGUUAGAUGUUAGAUUGCAAUGCUGUCAUGUUAUCAAUAAUUUUAUAAGUUGAUACUUCCCAAACAAUCAUAAAGGUACAAAAUACGAAUGUUUGAUAUAAUCAUCUGCAUUUUUACUUGAUAGAAACAAAUCUGUAUUUAGAGUAUACCCGGAAAACUUAUAAAUUUAUAUAUAACUAACGUAUUAGACAUUUUACAUAAAUUGAUAUAGGUGAAGCAACAUGCUAGUUUUAAUUUAAUUUUUUCCUAAGUAAAAGAGUUAUUUAAGGAGGAAGACCUAGGUUAAGGGAAAUAACUCUUAAAAUCAUCAGUACGUUUGUGUCAACCAUUUUCAAAAAAUAUAUUCUAAGCUUCUAGGUUACAUAGAUUAUUUUCAAUCUGUUUCAGGUAAAUGCUUAAAAUACAUUGAUGAACUCGACUUUUACAAACGCAUAACUGAUUUACAGAGUUAUCUCCCUGAACCAAGGUCUACCCCCUUAAACUUUGAAAUAUUUCCGUAUGUAUAACAAAUCGCUGAUAUGUAUUCUUGAUCCUAGAGAUAGUUAGAAUUUAGGUUGCUUCUGCAUAUGACCUUUUAGAGAAAGACGUGUAUUUGAUGUAAAGGUUGUAUUGUGAUAAAUGGUAUAAAAAGAAAAACAUCUGACCAUAAAUAUUACAAAGUAAUGAAGAAUAUCUAUUUACAAAAUGAUGUUUCAUUUAUUAGUAUGAGGGAUUUGAUUGGCGGUUAAGUAGUGCAAAACUUAACAUUGAUUUAAAUGUUAAUUUGUAGCAAGACAUCAACGAUGCCAUAUAUGAAAAAAAUGAAAUUAAUAAAAUGCAUAAAAAACAUGAAGAUAAUAUUUUUGUUUAAUGAGAUUUACGUGUAGUUUCGAACAGGUAUACUUCGAAACUCUCAAAACAUAAACAGAAAAUUCUAAUGCAAUUAUUUUGUAUCAAUGGUUCUGAUUGGAUGACAGUUAGCGUAAAACUCUCUAUCUCCUUGCCUGUAACUAAGGAAGCCGAUAUUUUGAAUUGCUGAAUGUAUUGUCAUGUAAUUUCUACAAUAACAAGCCCAAAAAACUCACAUGUUGCACCUAAAAAUCUUCUUUUUAUCAAAUUUUAUUACAUUCUGAAGUGGCACAGACGCUAGAGAACGCCCGGUGUUUAUGUUUGACGCAGGAAGCAUACCGAUGACGUCACUUAGUGUAGGUACCAAAGACGAUAACAUCUUUUCGCGGAAUUUACUUUAAUGAAGAUUUCACCCUGAAAUAAUUAUGAACUUGUUUUGCAUUAGAAUAAGGAUAACUGUAUUGUAUUUGAAGCUUUGCGGACGUCCAUCGGUAGUUGUACUGUCGCAAAUACCCGUUUAUCUGUCUCCUCUACGCGUCGCCAGGCAAACUUAAUUUGCGACAGUAAAAACUACCGAUGGACGUCCUUAAAGUUUCAAAUACAAUACAGUUAUCUCUUAAGUGGUAGAAGGGAGACCAACUAUACUAAAUGGGUAUUAAACUCAUAAAUUGAAAACAAACUGACAAGG